AGGGUUAAUCUUCUGGAACUGAACAGCUGCUCGCAGAUUUAGUGCGGCUCCAGAUCCCCCCGAUGUCCCCAUACACCAUCGAGCCUCCCUGGACUCAGCCCUGGCCACCUAUCGUUCAGGUGGGACUGGAACAAAGAUUCAUAAUUUUUGUGGAGAGUAUUUUAAUGGCCACUGGUCGACAAUGGGUUAGUUGUUCUAUGUCCAUGAUCGGAAGUAAAAUUCGUCGAUUUUGAUAUUCCGUUGAUAUAUAAAUAAAAUAAAUAAACUGCAAUAUUUCGUUGAAAUAGCUCUAAAAUAGA